CCAUCAUCUAAUUCGAUCCAUCCAUUGUUAACGCAUUUAUAUUCAUUGAUACAAACUUAAAUUUCUACGUUAUAAUGUCACGCUGACUAAUUAAUUUUCAUGUUGUAUGUUAGGUCAUGCUAUUCCAUACUCCUGUCAACAUUUACCGCAUUAAGGAAGCACGUGAUUGUGAUGGGACAAAGUCAAUGGAGGGACAUAGUUAAACAAUUUACGUAUGCUUGAUUAAAUGCUAGUAAUAGAUAUUGUCCAUGGUUUUAUAAGAUUAAAAUGUACUUAUGGAGAAAAGGAGAAUGUUGGAAUCUGAUUUAAAUUGUUAGCUUGAUAAAUGUAGUAACCCUAAAUUUAGCUGUAAUGGCAUACCAUUUGUAAUUAUAAAACUUUGAUUUUUAUCCUAAGUUUGCUAAAAAUGGCAUGGCUAAAUCGUCUGUAGAGGCUGUACCAAGUCAGUUUUCAUUUCUCUAUUAUGUUUAUAGACUUUAAGAAGGGGCUGAUGAUAACUUUGUGUGAAAUUGGAUGUCGAUCUGCUACCUAAAUAUGUUGAAGUUAGGGUACAUAACUACAAACCCGAGCUGAGCCGAAGUGUUGCUAAAUAUGCAUGAUUUUUUAGCACAAAAUAGAUGGAUGUCUAACCAUGAUGGAAGCUCCUACUUAACCCAAAAAAAAAAAAAAAAUGCAAAAUACAGUUGCAGAACAACCCGGGCAAAAAACUAAACAAAGUAAUAUAAAAAUAGAUGAUGCUAAUACUACAAAAAUUGUUGCUCUUACAAGACACUACAGUCAGGCUACUAAUCAUCCAAGAUGCCUGCUGCAAAGACACCAAAAUAGAAACUACAAGUUCCAGGCAUGUUAUCUGGACCGACUACCACACAUCUAAUACACCAAAAUCAAAAGUGGUUCAAU
rnacentral:lncRNA from 1 species